UGAAGCGAAAGUAAAAUUUCGUGGAGGUCCGAACCCACGAGCGUUGAAAAGCUCGGGGAUGACUUGUGGGUAGCGGUGAAAUUCCAAUCGAGCCCGGAGAUAGCUGGUUCUCCCCGAAAUAGCUUUAGGGCUAGCCUCAAGGUGAGAGAUACGGAGGUAGAGCACUGAAUGUCCUAGGGGGUAUUGCACCUACCGAAGACUAUCAAACUCCGAAUGCCGUCAUCUUAUACUUGGGAGUCAGACUGUGGGUGAUAAGAUUCAUAGUCGAAAGGGCAACAGCCCAGAUCGUCAGCUAAGGUCCCUAAAUGUAAGUUAAGUGGUAAAGGAUGUGGGAUUGCACAGACAACCAGGAUGUUGGCUUAGAAGCAGCCACUCAUUCAAAGAGUGCGUAAUAGCUCACUGGUCGAGUGAUCCUGCGCCGAAGAUUUCCGGGGCUAAAACUUACUACCGAAGCUACGGCAUCAGUAAUGAUGGGUAGGGGAGCUUCCCAUACGGGUUGAAGCAUGACCGUAAGGACAUGUGGACAGUAUGGGAGUGAGAAUGUUGGCAUGAGUAGCGAGAUGUGGGUGAGAAUCCCACAGGCCGUAAACCCAAGGUGUCCAGGGGAAGGUUCGUCCGCCCUGGGUUAGUCGGGACCUAAGCUGAGGCCGAAAGGCGUAGGUGAUGGACAACAGGUUGAUAUUCCUGUACUACCGAUAACCGUUUGAGAGAUGGGAUGACACAGUAGGAUAAGCUAAGCACACUGUUGGUUAUGUGUGCCCAAGCAUUGAGGCAGUCAAAGUAGGCAAAUCCGCUUUGAUAAUGCUGGGAUGUGAUGGGGAGCGAAAUUUAGUAGCGAAGUAGCUGAUUUCACACUGUCAAGAAAAGUCUCUAUCGAGGUUAAAGGUACCCGUACCGCAAACCGACACAGGUGGGUGAGGGGAGUAUCCUAAGGCUAGCGAGAGAACUGUUGUUAAGGAACUCGGCAAAAUGACCCCGUAACUUAGGGAUAAGGGGUGCCACCAUCAGGUGGCCGCAGAGAAUAGGCCCAAGCGACUGUUUACCAAAAACAUAGGUUUCUGCUAAGUCGCAAGACGAUGUAUAGGAGCUGACGCCUGCCCGGUGCUGGAAGGUUAAGGGGAUCUGUUAGAGCAAUCGAAGCAGUGAACUUAAGCCCCAGUAAACGGCGGCCGUAACUAUAACGGUCCUAAGGUAGCGAAAUUCCUUGUCGGGUAAGUUCCGACCCGC
rnacentral:rRNA from 1 species